AGACAAUUGAUGCAAGCAACCACCUGAAUUCCUUUCCUGAAAUUUGUGCUGAAUCUCUACCGUGACUCCAGGAAGAUGGGACGCAAAAAAGGGAAAAUGAGACCAUGGCUAUUAUUAUUUGAAGAAAGCUGUUUGUUACAAAGCAAAAGGGGAAGACCUUGCCUGUCUAUAAAUUGAUGUUAAAAAAAAAAGAAGAAAGAAAAAGAAAACUCUCCACCAUUAAUAUACUCCUCUUCCAAG
rnacentral:lncRNA from 1 species